AGACUGUUUAGUUCAUAUCGUUAGUUCAUGUCCCUCCCAGUUAAACUUGCCCAUAUUGUGUUUCUAUUAUGGAUUAUUGAUUACUGUUAUGCUGAUAUGCAAAUUUAUCUGUGUAGAAUUUCUGAACUCGCACCGCGGUGCCAUGCUUUACAUAAGGAGCUCACACCCCGGUGCCAUAUAUCGCGCCCCAGCGCCAUCUAAAGCAAUGACCCACUGCUAAUCUGCGCCCCGAUGCCAUGUGUCGCGCCCCAGCGCCAAUUCUGGUUCUUGCC
rnacentral:lncRNA from 1 species